AACGAACGCUGGCGGCAGGCUUAACACAUGCAAGUCGAGCGCCCCGCAAGGGGAGCGGCAGACGGGUGAGUAACGCGUGGGAAUCUACCCAUCUCUACGGAAUAACGCAUGGAAACGUGUGCUAAUACCGUAUACGUCCUUCGGGAGAAAGAUUUAUCGGAGAUGGAUGAGCCCGCGUUGGAUUAGCUAGUUGGUGGGGUAAAGGCCUACCAAGGCGACGAUCCAUAGCUGGUCUGAGAGGAUGAUCAGCCACACUGGGACUGAGACACGGCCCAGACUCCUACGGGAGGCAGCAGUGGGGAAUAUUGGACAAUGGGCGCAAGCCUGAUCCAGCCAUGCCGCGUGAGUGAUGAAGGCCCUAGGGUUGUAAAGCUCUUUCACCGGUGGGGAUAAUGACGGUAACCGGAGAAGAAGCCCCGGCUAACUUCGUGCCAGCCGCCGCCGUAAUAC
rnacentral:rRNA from 1 species